rnacentral:lncRNA from 1 species
UCCUCCUCCUCCGUUGUAACCUCCAUGGCCACCACCAUAUCCAUCAGGUUUCUCAUUUUCCUCACUCUCUGACUUCACCGUGCCUGUUCCAAACACACACAAAAAAAAAACAAAAUUAUUUCAAAAAUAUUUUUAAGCACGUGCAAAUGUGCAUUCCUUUGCCUAUUUCAUAAUUGAACACUUUUAAAAAAUGUAUAGAAAUUCGGGAUAAUGAUGUAGUUGUAGUGACAGAAUUACUCUGAACAGCUUCUAGUCCAUGUCCCCCGCGGCCUCCAUGUCCCCCGUGGCCUCCUCCUCCGUAGUGUCCUCCUCCGUGGCCACCACCAUAUCCAUCAGGUUUCACAGUUUCCUCACUCUCUGAGUUCACCGUGCCUAUCCCAAAAGCGAAACCACAUUAUUUUAUAAAUAUUGUUAGUACGUACAAAUGUGCAUUCCUCUCCCCAAUUUCAUAAUUAAAUUUCUCUUAAAAACUUUCUAAAAUAUGUAUAUAAUUCCGAUCUCUAGUUAUAAAAAAAAUGAGUUCAACAUUAAAUAUACGUUUUAUAUAAAUUGGCGUCAAGCAUCUAAAUAGUUUGGGAGGGUCUAAUAGGUAUAAGAGCAUGUACAUCAGUGAACCCUUAAAAGAGGGGUUUAACAGAAUAUAAUAACAUUUUUUUUUUGUUUUAGUUUUUUUUUUUUUUAAUUCGAAAAUUAUAAUUUUCGACCAUGUUUUAUUUGGGAUGAUACCGUCUCUUCAGGUUCGUCGGGAUGAUACUGUCUCUUUAAUAUUAAGAUCUUUUGUCUCAAAAACCGUGCCAUGAACCCCUCUUGAUCCUCUGAUGUAGAUGCUCUAAGAAGGACUAAACGUCAUAAGUAAGCGUAAGUGUCUUUUCUUACUAGGACAUCAACAUGAUACUUAAGUGUGUUUAUGACUUAGUGAGUCCAAAUAAUUGACCAUCGUUCACCCCAACUUUUCGCAUUUAAAACGGACGAGAUAGUUGGACAAAAUUAUCAAAUGGUACGUUAGUCCGGUUAGAUUAGCUUCACGAUAAUUUUUUUGUUUUCUAUAAAAUAAUUUUACGUACCCG